GGAUAGCUCAGUCGGUAGAGCAUGAGAUUCUGAAUCUCAGGGCUGUGGGUUCAGGCUCCACGUUGGGCU